GCUUGUAGUUUGGAUUGAUAUCCAACCGAUUCGUCAUCAUGUCCGGGUCAAUACCGAGCACAUCUACUGGGGUCCAGGCAAACACAUCCGUAUUUUUUUGCAAAAAGGAUAUGAGGCAUUGUUUGGUUAUCUGAUCAAAUUUUGACCCGAUCUGAAUAGUGUGCUCCUGACUGUCGUCGUUCAACGGGAUCAUCUUCAGGUCCUCCACUUGUUCUCCUCAUUCCUUAGAUAGCUCAUCCUGUGUGUCCAAUCCAUCCAUCAGAUAAGCUUCAAAAGGCCUUGCACCAUGAAGUGCAAUAUUGUAGCACUAUCACGCUAAGUCCUAAUAGACACUACAUUGGACACACGGCUCUGAGCUUUAAAAGGCCCUGAACUACAUUGGAAACUUUAUUUUCAAGUGGUAAGUAGACACUACAACUCAGAG
rnacentral:lncRNA from 1 species